rnacentral:rRNA from 1 species
CCUACGGGAGGCAGCAGUGGGGGAUAUUGGACAAUGGGCGCAAGCCUGACCCAGCAACGCCGCGUGAAGGAAGAAGGCUUUCGGGUUGUAAACUUCUUUUGGCAGGGAAGAGCAUAACACUGUACCUGUCAAAUAAGCCACGUCUAACUACGUCACAGCCGCCGCGGUAAUGCGUAGGUGGCAAGCGUUCUCCGGUUUUAGUGGGUGUAAAGGGCGUGUAGCCGGGCUGAUAAGUCAGAUGUGAAAGCCGGGGGCUCAACCCCGGAACUGCUUUUGAAACUGUGUGUCUUGAGUACCGGAGGGGCAGGCGGAAUUCCUAGUGUAGCGGUGAAAUGCGUAGAUAUCAGGAGGAACACCAGCGGCGAAGGCGGCCUGCUGGACGAAAACUGACGGUGAGGCGCGAAAGCGUGGGGAGCAAACAGGAUUAGAUACCCGAGUAGUC